rnacentral:rRNA from 1 species
AACGCUAGCGGCAGGCUUAACACAUGCAAGUCGAGGGGCAUCACGGGUAGCAAUACCUGGUGGCGACCGGCGCAAGGGUGCGUAACGCGUGAGCAACAUGCCCUAUACAGGGGGAUAAUCCAGGGAAACUUGGUCUAAUAUCCCAUAGCAUUUAGAGGUGGCAUCACCAUUAAAUUAAAGCUUCGGUGGUAUAGGAUUGGCUCGCGUGACAUUAGCUAGAUGGUGGGGUAACGGCUCACCAUGGCUAUGAUGUCUAGGGGUUCUGAGAGGAAGACCCCCCACACUGGGACUGAGACACGGCCCAGACUCCUACGGGAGGCAGCAGUGAGGAAUAUUGGACAAUGGAUGGAAAUCUGAUCCAGCCAUGCCGCGUGCAGGAAGACGGCCCUAUGGGUUGUAAACUGCUUUUAUAUGGGAGCAAUAAGGUCUACGAGUAGACCGAUGAGAGUACCAUAUGAAUAAGCAUCGGCUAACUCCGUG